rnacentral:rRNA from 1 species
GACGUAGGGGGCCAGCGUUGUUCGGAAUUACUGGGUGUAAAGGGUUCGUAGGCGGUGUGGCAAGUUGGGAGUGAAAUCUCUGGGCUCGACCCAGAGGCUGCUUCCAAAACUGCCAUGCUUGAGUGUGGGAGAGGAGCGUGGAAUUGCAGGUGUAGCGGUGAAGUGCGUAGAUAUCUGGAGGAACACCCGUGGCGAAAGCGGCGCGCUGGACCACUACUGACGCUGAGGAGCGAAAGCUAGGGGAGCAAACAGG